ACACUGAACAUUGAGCCUUGAUGUGUAGGAUAGGUGGGAGGCUUUGAAGUGUGGACGCCAGUCUGCAUGGAGCCGGCCUUGAAAUACCACCCUUUAAUGUUUGAUGUUCUAACGUGGACCCGUGAUCCGGGUUGCGGACAGUGUCUGGUGGGUAGUUUGACUGGGGCGGUCUCCUCCUAAAGAGUAACGGAGGAGCACGAAGGUUGGCUAAUCCUGGUCGGACAUCAGGAGGUUAGUGCAAUGGCAUAAGCCAGCUUGACUGCGAGCGUGACGGCGCGAGCAGGUGCGAAAGCAGGUCAUAGUGAUCCGGUGGUUCUGAAUGGAAGGGCCAUCGCUCAACGGAUAAAAGGUACUCCGGGGAUAACAGGCUGAUACCGCCCAAGAGUUCAUAUCGACGGCGGUGUUUGGCACCUCGAUGUCGGCUCAUCACAUCCUGGGGCUGAAGUAGGUCCCAAGGGUAUGGCUGUUCGCCAUUUAAAGUGGUACGCGAGCUGGGUUUAGAACGUCGUGAGACAGUUCGGUCCCUAUCUGCCGUGGGCGCUGGAGAACUGAGGGGGGCUGCUCCUAGUACGAGAGGACCGGAGUGGACGCAUCACUGGUGUUCGGGUUGUCAUGCCAAUGGCACUGCCCGGUAGCUAAAUGCGGAAGAGAUAAGUGCUGAAAGCAUCUAAGCACGAAACUUGCCCCGA
rnacentral:rRNA from 1 species